UUAAUUCGAUGCAACGCGAAGAACCUUACCUACUCUUGACAUCCAGAGAACUUUCCAGAGAUGGAUUGGUGCCUUCGGGAACUCUGAGACAGGUGCUGCAUGGCUGUCGUCAGCUCGUGUUGUGAAAUGUUGGGUUAAGUCCCGCAACGAGCGCAACCCUUAUCCUUGUUUGCCAGCGAGUAAUGUCGGGAACUCCAGGGAGACUGCCGGUGAUAAACCGGAGGAAGG
rnacentral:rRNA from 1 species